rnacentral:rRNA from 1 species
GGUUGAUCCUGCCAGUAGUCAUAUGCUUGUCUCAAAGAUUAAGCCAUGCAUGUCUAAGUAUAAGCACUUUAUACAGCGAAACUGCGAAUGGCUCAUUAAAUCAGUUAUAAUUUACUUGAUAGUACCUAUUUACUUGGAAUAACCGAGGAAAAUCUUCAGCUAAUACAUGCUUACAUCCCUGACUGUUUGGAAAGGGAGUAUUUAUUAGAUAAAAAACCAAUGCCUUCGGGCUUUUGGAUGAUUCAUAGUAACUUUUCGAAUCGCAUGGCUCACGCCGGCGAUGGUUCAAUCAA